rnacentral:rRNA from 1 species
CCUACGGGAGGCAGCAGUGGGGGAUAUUGCACAAUGGGGGGAACCCUGAUGCAGCGACGCCGCGUGGGUGAAGAAGCGCCUCGGCGCGUAAAGCCCUGUCAGCAGGGAAGAAAAUGACGGUACCUGAAGAAGAAGCCCCGGCUAACUACGUGCCAGCAGCCGCGGUAAUACGUAGGGGGCAAGCGUUAUCCGGAUUGACUGGGUGGAAAGGGGGCGCAGACGGCGAUGCAAGCCAGGAGUGAAAGCCCGGGGCCCAACCCCGGGACUGCUCUUGGAGAUGCGUGGCUGGAGUGCAGGAGGGGCAGGCGGAAUUCCUGGUGUAGCGGUGAAAUGCGUAGAUAUCAGGAGGAACACCGGUGGCGAAGGCGGCCUGCUGGACUGCAACUGACGUUGAGGCCCGAAAGCGUGGGGAGCAAACAGGAUUAGAUACCCUAGUAGUC